AACGAACGCUGGCGGCAUGCCUAACACAUGCAAGUCGAACGAGACCUUCGGGUCUAGUGGCGCACGGGUGCGUAACGCGUGGGAACCUGCCCUUAGGUUCGGAAUAACUCCCCGAAAGGGGUGCUAAUACCGGAUAAUGUCUUCGGACCAAAGAUUUAUCGCCUUUGGAUGGGCCCGCGUUGGAUUAGCUAGUUGGUAGGGUAAAAGCCUACCAAGGCGACGAUCCAUAGCUGGUCUGAGAGGAUGAUCAGCCACACUGGGACUGAGACACGGCCCAGACUCCUACGGGAGGCAGCAGUGGGGAAUAUUGGACAAUGGGCGAAAGCCUGAUCCAGCAAUGCCGCGUGAGUGAUGAAGGCCUUAGGGUUGUAAAGCUCUUUUACCCGGGAUGAAUGACAGUACCGGGAGAAUAAGCUCCGGCUAACUCCGU
rnacentral:rRNA from 1 species